AUCUUGCUGUUCCAGUUUCAAGAAGUUAAGGAAGAUAACUGGAGAUGUGAUAACGAUACCAGACUGAGAAGAAACUGACCCUCAUUAGAAAGAUGAUGGAGACCACAUUUCCCCUACGCCGACAGACCAUAGUGAUGUCCUGCCCACCAGUGAACGACCUCAUGGAUCUCUGGCUUGCUCUUAAAAUAGAGUCUGAGUUGUAUGCAGAGUUCCAGCGGAUUACAAAUCAGAACCUGCCCAACACGUGCUAUGCUGAGCUUGACCGCUAUCUUCCUCGACUGAUGACCUUAUUCAGACGGAAGGCAUCAAAAACUGGGAAGACAGCAGAUGCU